CGUGUAGGCGGUUCGUUAAGUCUGAUGUGAAAGCCCUGGGCUCAACCCAGGAAGUGCAUUGGAAACUGGCGAACUUGAGUACGGGAGAGGAAAGUGGAAUUCCGAGUGUAGGGGUGAAAUCCGUAGAUAUUCGGAGGAACACCAGUGGCGAAGGCGGCUUUCUGGACCGAUACUGACGCUGAGACGCGAAAGCGUGGGGAGCAAACAGGAUUAGAUACCCUGGUAGUCC
rnacentral:rRNA from 1 species